GAUCUCUUGACCUUGUGAUCCACCUGCCUCGGCCUCCCAAAGUGCUGGGAUUACAGGCUUGAGCCGCCGCACCCAGCCAUUUUCAUGUUUUUAAUAGAGACAGGGUUUCGCCAUGUUGGCCAGGAUGGUCUCGAUCUGCUGAUCUCGUGAUCCGUCUGCCUCGGUCUCCCAAAGUGCUGGGAUUACAGGAGUGAGCCACCGGGCCUGGCCAGCAGAACUGGUUGAGCCAGAUUAUCAGUCUGGUAAUGUUAGCUGAUCCAGCUGAUCCAUUGAGUGCAGGAUCUGCAAAAUAUUUCAAGCACUGAUCUUAGGUUUUACAAUUGUGAUGUUAUCCCUAGGAGCAAUUUGGGGAGGUUCCGACUCUUGGAGCCAGAAGCUGCAUUACCACUCAACUGUCAUUUCUAAUCUGGUAGCUAAUUUGUUAGUCCUGCAAAGGCAGACUGGUCCCCAGGCAAGAAGGGGGUCUUCGGAAAGGGCUGUUAUCAAUAUUGUUUCAGAGUCAAACUGAAGUAUUGGAUGCGAGAUUGAAAUAAUCACUAAGACAAAGGUAUGCCAAAUUGUAGGGUCUUUAUUGCUGGUGACCGCGGAGGACUCACGUCUCUCCAACCUGUGGCCCUGAACUCAGGGGGAGCAGGGUAUUUAAGCUGAAAAACCACAUCCUGGGUUUAGGGUGAGGGGAUGCAGGGCAAGCUUCUUUUCAAUACUUGCUGAUAAGCAGAAGUAAUUCUGGUAACUACUAAUAAGCAAAGGCUGGUCAUUUUAGAGCAAGCUAGCAGGUUUUAUUUACAGAAGCCAAGAACAGCAGUUAGUGCGAGGAGAGGGGGUCAGCUGUUACAACUUAUUUUUGGAAAACAGUUUUUGUCUUGUAUAAAAUGGCGUUGCUCUGGUUCCAACUCUAGGACUGCUAUAGCACAAAACCAUAAACUGAAUUCCUUCCCAAAGUUAGUUUGGCCUAUACCCAGGAAUGAACAAGGACAGUUUAAAGGUUAGAUGCAAGAUGGAGUUGGUUAGGUUUGGUCUCUUUCACUGUCAUAAUUUCUUCAGUUAUAAUUUUUGCAAAGGCGGUUUCAAGCAGAAGAGUGUGUGGCACGUAUGGGCACUCAAGAACGCUAGCUGUGAUUGUUGGCUGGACGGAGUGGCUCCUGCCUGUAAUCCCAGCACUUUGGGAAGCCAAGGCUCGUGGAUCACAAGGUCAGGAGUUCGAGACCUGUCUGGCCAACAUAGUGAAACCCCAACAACAAAAAAAAAAAAAAAAAAAGAAAGAAAGAAAAGGAAAGAAAAUAUGGGUAGGCGGAAAAAGGGCCAUUUGAAAUACAAACUUUUCUUUUCCUCUGUGGUCUCUCUCUUGCCCUCUCUUAGUGUUUCUUAUUUGCUAUUUGAUGCUAUGCUUUUUUGGGCGCAGGUAUACUUGCAGGAUGAGUGCAGACCCUCGCAGGCACUGCGGGGUGAGGAGUAG
rnacentral:lncRNA from 13 species